AGUUGGUGGUGUUUCUCUUCAACAAGCCCCUUCCUCUCCUCCUGUGGCAUUGCAGCAACAGCUGCCUGCCCGGCAUAGAUGUUCAAGCACUUGGUGCAGCAGGACGGGUGGUUCUGCUCUCUAAUGAACUAGAUAAAUCACACGAAAUUGGCUAAGAGGGACCGUCAACGUGGAGGAGAAAGGGAAAAAGAGUGUUUGAGGAGACCUUGAUUUCAAACGUUGCGGUGCGGGUCCACCAUUUGUCCUAACCAAGCACCUUCUGAAGGUGUGAAAUACGUGGCUUAAAGCCUUUUUUCCCCUCACUGAGCUUUGACAGGGAGGAAAUGGUUAUGCAUAACCAUGCUUUUUACGUGUUUCUUAAGCACUCUUUCCUCUUGAUGGUGUAGCCCUAACAUUGAAAUACCUGGGACGCGUCUCUCUGCACCUUGCAUACCGCGUUUAAAACGAGAGCAUCACGGGCGAAAUCCUAGGUGGUAGGUCCGGGGAAGGGUGGGGUGUUUUACGGCUCCAACCCGCCAGGCAGGUGAAUAACAUCUUCCCAAAUCCCUGGGUCUUGCAGGUCUCCACCAUGGCUGGCGCCGCCAGGGCUGCCCUCCCGCAUGCGGCUCGGUGCGACGCGGCUUAUAUGGAAAUAUUCCUGCAAUGCAUCUAAAGAGAAGACAAAUGGCAGCGUUUAUGGAAGGCAGCAGAUUGUACUGCAACGUGCGCGUAGGGUGGAGGAGGCUGGCGUCCCAUCCCUCCGCUGCAGCCCCUUGCUAAAGAGGGAUUGACGUGAUUUUGUUUAAAUAUGAUGCGUGUUACACCGGCCUGAUGUAAAGAUUAACACAAUAGAGUCCUUAACCUGCUUAAGGACUCUGGGUCCUGCCCCAAGGUAAAUAGUGAAUACAGUUGUGUUUGCCCAGCGGGUUUGGCUGUGGGGGAAAAAUAGCUGGGAGUCUGCUCUUUUUUUCUUGCUAACUGCUGGUCUCACACACCAGUCAAUUCCAAUCCAGAGUUUUUCUGAGGAAGUAGUUCAGCCUUUCUAACAAACCAAAAAACUUCUUGGAUAUGGUAGCUCUACUUCAGCUCAAGUCCCAUUUUUUUGUAUUUAAAAAGCAAACCCAUCAACUUGGAAAAAAAAAAAAUAAAAAUAAAUGCUGACCUAUCUAGCUGAUGUAA
rnacentral:lncRNA from 1 species